rnacentral:rRNA from 1 species
GAGUGAAGCGGCAACAGCUCAAAUUUGAAAUCUGAUCUCUUCGAGGUCCGAGUUGUAAUUUGUAGAGGGCGCUUUGGUGUUGGCUGCGGUCUAAGUUCCUUGGAACAGGACGUCAUAGAGGGUGAGAAUCCCGUCUGUGGUCGCAUGUCUUCACCGUGUAAAGCCCCUUCGACGAGUCGAGUUGUUUGGGAAUGCAGCUCUAAAUGGGAGGUAAAUUUCUUCUAAAGCUAAAUACUGGCCAGAGACCGAUAGCGCACAAGUAGAGUGAUCGAAAGAUGAAAAGCACUUUGGAAAGAGAGUUAAAAAGCACGUGAAAUUGUUGAAAGGGAAGCGCUUGCAGCCAGACUUGCUUGCAGUUGCUCAUCCGGGCGUUCGCCCGGUGCACUCUUCUGUAGGCAGGCCAGCAUCAGUUUGGGCGGUUGGAUAAAGGCCUCUGUCAUGUAUCUUCUCCGGAAGACCUUAUAGGGGAGGCGUAAUGCAACCAGCCUGGACUGAGGUCCGCGCAUCUGCUAGGAUGCUGGCGUAAUGGCUGUAAGCGGCCCGUCUUGAAACACGGACCAAGGAGUCUAACAUCUAUGCGAGUGUUUGGGUGUCAAGCCCGAGCGCGCAAUGAAAGUGAACGGAGGUGGGAACCUUAGGGUGCACCAUCGACCGAUCCUGAUGUCUUCGGAUGGAUUUGAGUAAGAGCAUAGCUGUUGGGACCCGAAAGAUGGUGAACUAUGCUUGAAUAGGGUGAAGCCAGAGGAAACUCUGGUGGAGGCUCGCAGCGGUUCUGACGUGCAAAUCGAUCGUCAAAUUUGGGCAUAGGGGCGAAAGAC